GUCCCCAGUGUCCCAGUGUCCCCAACACAAUGGAUGGAGACCCACCAUGACCCCAUGUCCCCAGUGUCCCCAAUGUCCCCAGUCAACAGUUGGAGACCCAACACGACCCGAUGUCCCCAGUGUCCCCAGUGUCCCCAAUGUCCCAGUGUCCCCGGUCAACAGUUGGAGAUCCAACAUGACCCUAUGUCCCCAAUGUCCCCAAAGCAAUGGACAGAGACCCACGACGACCCCAUGUCUCCAGUGUCCCCAAUGUCCCCAGUCAACAGUUGGAGACCCACCACGACCCCAUGUCCCCAGUGUCCCCACGCGCCCCACGGCCAAACCGCACCGGACCCACAGCGUCCACCUCCGUUUAUUGACGCCUUUCGGAGCCGCUCUCCCAUUUCCCGCUGCCCCACGGCACCGGGGUCCCAGUAUGGGAUGGCACUGGGGUCCCAGUAUCAAUUUCCCAUACAGAGCCCAGUGCCCCACAUUACUGGGAUCCCCUUGUCCCAUUUUACUGGGAUCCCAUUGUCCCAUUACUGGGAUCCCGCUGCCCCACAUCACUGGGAUCCCACUGCCCCACGUUACUGGGAUCCCAUUGCUCCAUUACUGGGAUCCCAUUGUCCCAUGUUACUGGGAUCCCAUUGCCCCAUUACUGGGAUCCCAUUGUCCCAUGUUACUGGGAUCCCAUUGCCCCA
ensembl:lncRNA